UACGAAGGGGACUAGCGUUGUUCGGAAUCACUGGGCGUAAAGCGCACGUAGGCGGAUAUGUCAGUCAGUGGUGAAAGCCCGGAGCUCAACUCCGGAACUGCCAUUGAAACUGUGAAACUUGAGGACGAGAGAGGUGAGUGGAAUUCCCAGUGUAGAGGUGAAAUUCGUAGAUAUUGGGAAGAACACCGGUGGCGAAGGCGGCUCACUGGCUCGUUUCUGACGCUCAGGCGCGACAGCGUGGGGAUCAAACAGG
rnacentral:rRNA from 1 species